CAACAUCCCCCAGCCCAACCCCGCACGAAAUAAAUCUGCAAACUCCUGAGACACCGCUGGCUGAAGGUGCCCCUGCCUUAUGUUACAUGUGGGAGCGCGGCGGCCACUGCCCCGCCUGAGGAGCAGCCCCAUGGCUGCAGACGGAGGGAGGCGCUGGUCACAGAGCAGAGACCACUCCGCCCCGCCCCCAGGAACCGAGCCCCCAGGAGACCCUCCAGCCGGCCAGAGCAGCCCCGCCUUCUGCAGCCAAAACCUCUGCUCCUCACAGUGAGAGCAGGGCUUGCCCCCUGCCUUGGUGCUAAGCAGGGACUGCAGACGCAACCCCAGGCCUUUAGAACGGGACGCCAAGGCACAGCUUUGCACAAAGGCGGCUAACCCUCCGGCACAGCCGCAGCCUCUGCUCAGGAAGCGGUGUGGGUGUGAAGACCCCCGGGCUUUCCUCUGGCCCACAGCGAGGCCCGGCCCACGGGAGCGUCCUGUGCCCCGCAGCCGUCAUACGCCUUCUCCUCGUGAAUUCACAAGGUCUGAGAAUCUGGGAUGAGCCAGGCAGGGCCAGAACUCCCAGCUCAGAUGCAGAACGUUUAUGCAUGAGGUUGCUUUCUUUCUGCGUCUCUGCUUUCCAGAAGAAUCGAGAGUGAGACCUUGGUGGUCAGAGGUAACAUGGGUAUGCCUCAGCUCGGGCCAGCAGUGGCCUGGGGGCUCCUUUUCAUCUUGCAGGUAUAAUCCAAGUCCACCCGCGUUUGUUGACGCGAGGUCUGGAACUGGACCCCAGUAGAGGGCAGAAGCAGACUCGAGCCCAUCUCCCACGGCUGGGGCCCACGGAGGUGGGUGGGAAGUCUGCGCGAGGACCCGGCUCACGGCAGAGUCUCAGAGCACGGAACUCCGAUGCUGCUCCUGGCUCCGUGGGCCCUGGGAUGCUCACGGAGCGUUCCCAGUGUCAGGGCCAGACCCCGGCAGAGGCGGGUGUCUUGUCUACAGGAGCAGAGCCUUGGAACAGCUCUGGUGUCGUGGAAACCCAGCUGUGCGGGGAACUUUCCAGUCACUUUUCCAUCACUCCCGGGUAA
rnacentral:lncRNA from 1 species